AAGUCGUAACAAGGUUUCCGUAGGUGAACCUGCGGAAGGAUCAUUAUCGUAGGGGCCUCGCCCCCUUCGAGAUAGCACCCUCUGUUUAUGAGCACCUCUCGUUUCCUCGGCAGGCUCGCCUGCCAACGGGGACCCACCACAAACCCAUUGUAGUACAAGAAGUACACGUCUGAACAAAACAAAACAAACUAUUUACAACUUUCAACAACGGAUCUCUUGGUUCUG
rnacentral:misc_RNA from 1 species